GGGGAGUUCUCAUCUCUUAAUGUGCCAGGCUUGAUCUUUUGGGUUUUUGCCAUCUGCUUCUUCGGUGUUUCCUCUCUGGGAAUCUUUGCUACAUGCUGUGAGUCAAUCAUCGGCCUCAAACUAGUAUGUACGACCCCGACAUCAAACAAGAUAAAGAGAUGAUGAGGCUGUUCUUAAUUUUAUAAUUAUUCGAACAAUUACUGUGGAUGCUCUUUGUAUUGUUUUGUGUACAGUUUGCAAGCUUCAUGGGGAUUGGAAUGAUCAUCAUGUUGUACUGUGGCAUCACUGUAGCGAGAAGAAGACAUGAGAUAGAGACUGCCUUCCGGGAUGAACUACAAAGGGCCAACCUAAGAGAAGAAGUCCUUAGAAGCAUGGUUGAGGGGAUACAGUCAAAUUUUCAUUGCUGUGGAUUAACGAGUCCUGGAGACUGGGUUUAUGAAAUCCCUGACUCCUGCAAAUGCAGUAAUGGAAGAUAUGGCGGUUCUGGGGAUUUUGGCUCACCCAGAUGCCAAUCCAAGCCUCAGGGAAUCAGAGGCCCAGAUGAAAUCUAUGAACAGCCCUGCAUCAUUGAACUUUUGAACCUUGGCUUUAACAUCCUGUUUGGCUUCUUCUUUGGAUUUGCUAUUAUAGCCCUGCUGGGCCUGCUCAUUGCCAUCUGCAUGAUUAAUCAGAUCAAAAGUGACAACAGUAGAGAAUCCAUGUACUUGAGGAAGUACUAA
rnacentral:lncRNA from 1 species